ACAAAUUAAAUAGUGCUCCAUAUAAUCGCGAGGAAAUGGCUCGCAAGUUUCUACCUGAUCGCCGACUCUGAUCAGACUAUGGGUAUAGUCGAC
rnacentral:ncRNA from 1 species